rnacentral:tRNA from 1 species
ACUUAUGUGAUGGAACUGGUAGACAUGUGCGACUUAAAAUCGCAUUCCUUUGGAGUGCCGGUUCGACCCCGGUCAUAAGUA